UGGGGAAUAUUGCACAAUGGGCGAAAGCCUGAUGCAGCAACGCCGCGUGCGGGAUGACGGCCUUCGGGUUGUAAACCGCUUUCAGCAGGGACGAAGGUUUUCUGACGGUACCUGCAGAAGAAGCACCGGCUAACUACGUGCCAGCAGCCGCGGUGAUACGUAGGGUGCGAGCGUUGUCCGGAAUUAUUGGGCGUAAAGGGCUUGUAGGCGGUCCGUUGCGUCGGAAGUGAAAACUCAGGGCUUAACCCUGAGCCUGCUUUCGAUACGGGCGGACUUGAGGGAUGUAGGGGAGAACGGAAUUCCUGGUGGAGCGGUGGAAUGCGCAGAUAUCAGGAGGAACACCAGUGGCGAAGGCGGUUCUCUGGACAUUUCCUGACGCUGAGAAGCGAAAGCGUGGGGAGCAAACAGGCUUAGAUACCCUGGUAGUCCACGCCGUAAACGGUGGGCACUAGGUGUGGGACCCAUUCCACGGGUUCCGUGCCGUAGCUAACGCAUUAAGUGCCCCGCCUGGGG
rnacentral:rRNA from 1 species